UACAGGGGGGGCAAGCGUUGUUCGGAAUUACUGGGCGUAAAGGGCCAGUAGGCGGCCAACUAAGUCCGACGUGAAAUCCCAAGGCUUAACCUUGGAACUGCGUCGGAUACUGGAUGGCUUGAAUUCGGGAGAGGGAUGCAGAAUUCCAGGUGUAGCGGUGAAAUGCGUAGAUAUCUGGAGGAAUACCGGUGGCGAAGGCGGCAUCCUGGACCGACAUUGACGCUGAACGGCGGAAGCUAGGGGAGCAAACGGG
rnacentral:rRNA from 1 species